rnacentral:tRNA from 1 species
GCCUGGGUGGUUCAGUUGGUUAAGCAUCUGACUUCCACUCAGGUCGUGAUCUCACAGUUUUGUGAGUUCAAGCCCCGCAUCAGGCU